UCAAUCUUAUUCAUUUCCUGACUAUGUGCUGGGUUAGAACAGUAUAGAGACAGCAGUAAAAACAGCAUAAAAGCAGAAUCUUUUAAUUUUCAGCCUUGAGAUGUUCAGUGCUGCCAUUCAGUGGGAUGGAAAAGGACAAGAGAAGGGCCCAUCAGAUUCGCAGGAUGGAUCUUUAUGAUGAAUGCCAAAGCCACCUUGUACAUAACUGAGCCUGAAGAGUAAUGAGUGUAAGAUGAGAGGACAUCCUUCAGUGAGGAGCAGAGAUCUUGGGAAAGGGCAAGAAGUAAAGAUAGAAGUCUGUGCUGUGAGGAAAUCUGCUGCAGUCUGCUGAGGAU